GAUAAACGCUGGCGGUAUGCCUAAUACAUGCAAGUCGAGCGAACAGACGAUGAGCGCUCUCCUUUGCCGUUAGCGGGGGACGGGUGAGUAAGACGUGGAUAACCAACUUAUAAGACGGGGAGAAUUACGGGAAGACGGUGACAAUACCGGCUAAUAUAUUGAACGGGAGGGAUCAAUAGAUAAAGACACUUUUGGUGAUACAAAUAGAUGAAGCCGGGCUGCAUUAGCUAGUUGGUAAGGGAACGGCCUACCAAGGCAACGAUGCGUAGCCGAGCUGAGAGGGUGAUCGGCCACACUGGAACUGAGACACGGUCCAGACUCCUACGGGAGGCAGCAGUAGGGAAUCUUCCACAAUGGGCGCAAGCCUGACGCAGCCACGCCGCGUGAGUGAAGAAGGUCUUCGGAUCGUAAAGCUCUGUUAUUAGGAAAGAACAGCUGCAGAAGUAACUAUCCCUGUUCUGACGGUACCUAAUCAGAAAGCCACGGCUAACUACGUG
rnacentral:rRNA from 1 species